rnacentral:lncRNA from 1 species
GCGUGGGGGAUUUGGCACAAGGCCGAUGAUCGAGUCUAUGCUCUCUCCUCUAUGGAAAGACCUAUUUUCUCUGAUGAUUGUUUUGAAGUGGCAGACCAUGUGAACAACCUGGGCACCAUCGCGGGCUCGGGCACCAAGGAGUUCAUGGAGGUGCUGCAGGGCUGGGGCCGUGGCUGCGCCAACAGGUAACCAAAUCGGCUUCCCUAUGAUUAUUAUUGCUGUAGCGCUGGUUUUAGUGUAAAUAGGCUGUUGGACUGAUGAACAAAAGUCACGAGACCCUACAACCUGAUGACUGUGUAGAAGCAGAGUGGUUGGAUUCAUGUGUACUAGUAGCAUCUAAACCCUGCAGACUAAAUCAUUAGGCACACUGUACCGCACACACUAGUUAAUGUUCUGUCUUUUUGAGAACAUUUUGUAUCUGUUGUCUAGUUCUAUCCGGUGAUACUCGAUUAGGGCCCCAUGUGUUUGAACAACUAGUCAAGUAACAUGGGUCCCUACUGGUGGUACAGCGUCAAGUUUGGAAGCAGCUGGAGUGAAUGUCAGAAAAGUUGAACAGCUUACACAUUUUCCUGAAAUGGUAUAGCUUACUUUGUUUUUUAGCUACUGCAGCAUUUCUUGAAAUGAUUUUUAUUCUAAGCAUUUUUGUCAUACUCAAGAAGCUAGUUCCUGAAUCAGAUUUGUUAAUGAAAUGUUUCUUUAGCAUGCUAUAGUUAAUUAGUUGGCAAGUGUGAUGUCCAUUCGCCUUAUUCCGUCGCCUGAUUCCAAACACCUCCUCUAGUUUUUGCAGGUCUGGCAGCACCGCCG